rnacentral:lncRNA from 1 species
GACGAGGUAGAAGCAGAGAGAGGCCUACUGAAAGAAGAGAAUAAUUCACUCUUAUCACGACUUAAUGACGGGGCAGCACACAUAGAAAAUCUUCAGAUUACUGAAACGCUUUUGAAAAUGGAAAAUAUGCAGUUGCAGAAAGAAAUGGGAAUUCUCAAGGCUAAUAACAACUUGUUGAAAUCAACAGUGGAAGUGUUGUCAGGUGAGUUAGAUAAGGUGAUACAUAGGGUUAGCCAGUUCUCCAAUUGCACAUCUGAUAUUAGCAGCAGCAACGCCGGCAAUGAGGAAUGUUGGAAGAAACAUUCAGAUUCACGGGAUAGUCAGAGCCAAUAUUCAGGUGUCACGGUUAAAUACCCAAUGGCACCAAUUCACUCCACCAUUGUGCGAAAUGGAGCAAGUGGAGAGGAGGUUAUGUCAAACACUAUCAAAUGCCUUACCCCCUCAGAGUUAAAAGUAGUGGUAAAGAGUGUGGGAAAAUUUGAACCUGGGAGACAGGAUCCUGUAGAAUUUCUCUCCAGUCUGGAGACCUGCGUGAACAUUUACAGAUUGACAGAUUUUGAUGCUUGUGUUGUGUUGAGCCUGUGCCUUCCGUCUACAUUAUCUAGAGCCUUGACAGACAAAGUAAAGAAUAGGAUGGGAAAUAAUCAGGACCGAAAAAAAGCACUACUGGAGGUCUUGGGGAUUGCAUCUGUCAAUCCAGAAAAAUUAGCAGAAGUGUCAAUGAGACAAGGGGAACAUCCAGCAGCUUUUGCAGAUAGGUUACUGGAAGCUUUCACGACAUACAGUGGGUACCCUGACAUCAUGACAGAGGAUAUUAACUAUAAAUUUGCUUUGAUCAACAAAAGUGAUCCCCAGACCCGCUCUGCCAUAGAAAUGUUUGUGACUCAUCUCUCAGGCUUUGACGAAAUUAUUGCUAAAAUGACACAAUUUUACAAUAAUCAAGCCACUUCUAAGAAAUCACACCCUAUUGCAGCUAUAGGUAGUAAGCUUUCCCAACAGAACAGGAGACAAAGAGGGCCAGAAUCCUCCAGUUCUUCUAAUUGGCAACACAGAGGUAACAGCUUCAGGAGAAGCAAUCCAGUGGGUGUUAUCAUAUGCUAUACAUGUGGAGAAGAUGGGCACAUUGCGAGACACUGCCCAGGUAGUGGGGGAAGGUAUGAAUACUUUGUUUGCUAUGCAUGUGGAGAAGAGGGUCACAUCGCAAGACAUUGCCAAGACAGAGGGGGAAGACAUCAAGGCAUUU